rnacentral:rRNA from 1 species
UUAAGAACGCCAGGGUAUUACGAGCCUUAGCUUAAAACCCAAAGGACUUGACGGUGUCCCAUCCAACUAGAGGAGCCUGUUCUAUAAUCGAUAAUCCCCGCUAUACCUAACCCCAUCUUGCAAUCAGCCUGUAUACCUCCGUCGCAAGCUUACCAUAUGAAUGUCAACAGUAAGUCUAAUGGUCACACACCAACACGUCAGGUCAAGGUGCAGCUUAUGAUGGGGCAAGCAAUGGGCUACAAUUUCUAACAUAGAAUAUACGAAAUGCUGCAUGAAACCCAGCCAUGAAGGCGGAUUUAGUAGUAAAAAUG